rnacentral:rRNA from 1 species
UGGGGAAUAUUGCGCAAUGGGCGGAAGCCUGACGCAGCGACGCCGCGUGAGGGAUGACGGCCUUCGGGUUGUAAACCUCUUUCAGCAGGAACGAAUUUGGACGGUACCUGCAGAAGAAGCACCGGCUAACUACGUGCCAGCAGCCGCGGUAAUACGUAGGGUGCGAGCGUUGUCCGGAUUUAUUGGGCGUAAAGAGCUCGUAGGCGGUUUGUCGCGUCGACUGUGAAAGCCCGGGGCUUAACUCCGGGUCUGCAGUCGAUACGGGCAGACUAGAGUUCGGUAGGGGAGACUGGAAUUCCUGGUGUAGCGGUGAAAUGCGCAGAUAUCAGGAGGAACACCGGUGGCGAAGGCGGGUCUCUGGGCCGAUACUGACGCUGAGGAGCGAAAGCGUGGGGAGCGAACA